rnacentral:rRNA from 1 species
UGAGGAAUAUUGGUCAAUGGACGAGAGUCUGAACCAGCCAAGUAGCGUGCAGGAUGACGGCCCUAUGGGUUGUAAACUGCUUUUGUUUGGGAAUAAUCGACAUUACGUGUAAUGUUUUGCAUGUACCAUUCGAAUAAGGACCGGCUAAUUCCGUGCCAGCAGCCGCGGUAAUACGGAAGGUCCAGGCGUUAUCCGGCUUUAUUGGGUUUAAAGGGAGUGUAGGCGGUUGGUUAAGCGUGUUGUGAAAUGUAGAUGCUCAACAUCUGACUUGCAGCGCGAACUGGCUGACUUGAGUACACACAACGUAGGCGGAAUUCAUGGUGUAGCGGUGAAAUGCUUAGAUAUCAUGAAGAACUACGAUUGCGGAGGCAGCUUACGGGAGUGUUACUGACGCUUAAGCUCGAAGGUGCGGGUAUCGAACAGG